CUACACUGAAAAUCAUUCUCUCUCGGAACUUUGGAAGUUUUCCUUCCCUAACAUCUGCUGCCUGUAAGAAAACUGCUGCUAAUGCCGCUUUUAUUUACAGAAAUAAUGGAGGUAAGAAGAGAGAAAGAGGAAAACAAAACAGGUUCUGGAUGUUAUCUUCCAUCCAGACAUAGUCAGAAGUACUGGUGGGGAGAGGCUGUCGAUGAUAGGUAGAAGACAGUACAUAAAGAACUAUGUGCUGGGCAAUUUCUUCUGGAGCUGCACUUCCAGUAAGAGAAGCUACUGGGCACAUCUGGCUACUAAAUGUGUGACAUGUGGCUCAUCAAAGCCAAGAACUCUGGACAAGAAAAAUGACUGACAUCUUCCUACCAAACAGCAGUAAUGUCUAAUCCUAUCAUGGUCACUGCAAAACCAAAUCCAUCCAUUAAAUGCAACAAAGUCAAGAACCUAGAAGAUAUUUUCUACUAAUUAUUUGC